rnacentral:lncRNA from 1 species
GAUUAACAACAUACUAUGGUCAAGCAUGACUCUAAACUGCCAUAAGCAUCAUUACAUUACAUUUCAAUACUGUACUUUUAGAUUACAUCACAUUCAUGUCCACAUCUAUCUAUUACAUAAAACAUGACACUACUCCUGCUGACCUCCUGGUCUACCCUGUACCUGCAAACCUGGGGGUUAAGGGAGAGGGGUGAGCUAUAAAGCCCAGUGAGCAGAAUAAUAAAACAUUUAAAUCAUAUGCUAGAAUGGAAUGCAUCACAUCACAGACAAUUCACAUCAAGGAUGAACUUGUCACUAUUUAGCCCUCCAUACGGUCUAAUCAUGCCAGGGGCGUAGAGCAGGCACGCCUGGACUUCCAUACCAUAACAUACAUAUCCAAUCAUACCGGGGGCGUAGUGCAGACACGCCCGGACUUUCUCUUACAUAGUGCCAGGGGCGUAGAGCAGGCACGCCUGGACUUCCAUAUCAUAUCAUCAUGUCAUAACAUAUGAGGGCUAAUGGAUCAUUCAACAUUCAUCCACAUCAACAACAUAAUAUGCAAUGCAACAUAUUCGUGAAUUCUAAUGCAAGCACCCUAACAUAUCUCAUGGCAUUCAUGAUGCGUGAAUCAUGCUAAAACUUUCAUUAUUUGCUUUGAACAUAAAGAGUUAUUCCACUCACCUCUAGCUGAAGCUCUAAUGACUCUGAAGCAGCUAUCUCACUGCUGAGGUCCUCGGUUCCUCGGGUCCGAACCUACACAGGUGGACUCAAAUGAGGGACCAAACAUCCAUGAACAUGACUCUAAAAUACUCCCCAAAA